ACUGGUGCCCCAGUUAAAUUAGAACCACACCAAUCCAUACCGAACUUGGUAGUGAAAUGAUUUGAAGGCGAAAAUACUUGUAGGGUGACCUGCUGGAAAAAUAGUUUGGUGCCAG
rnacentral:rRNA from 1 species